rnacentral:lncRNA from 1 species
UCAACCACACCAUUUUUUUCUUCUGAUUAUAAUUAUUAGGGAUUGAUGGAGAAUUGAUGACUAAUAUAUUAUUUAUAAAAAAAAAACUAAACUCUAACUUUUAACUAACAUACUAAACAACUGACCUAAUAGAUUGACUCAAUUCAACAUGUUAACUUAAGCAACAAACUAACAUAUUCCGACAGAUACACUAGCUCUUCGACUUUGACAGAGCUCUUCGACUUCGACACGGUUUGCUACAACACUAGCUUAU